rnacentral:lncRNA from 1 species
AUGAAAAUUAAGGUAGUAAUUCCUUGAAUAUACAGAGUGCCUUUUAUUUAGCAACUUGAAACAAUUCACCUACUUCCUCUCAUUUAUUUUCACAGAAAGCUCUUCAAGUUGACAGAGACAAAUAGUGUUGUACCCAUUCUAAAGAUGAAGGAACUGAGGCUUAAGGUGCUUAAUGUGGUUUACAAAUAUACAUCUGGCCAGUGGGACAGCAGAAAUUAGACAGGAAACUACUAAUCUCUGGCUCUUUCCAAGGGGUUUUGUAAUAGUGCCACAUGGCAAAGAAUCUAAGGUAGAUCUAAGACUAUAAGGAAUUCAGAGAACCUAUUUCCAGAAGGGGCUGUUGGUGAUGAUGCUUAAUAGAGAAGGUAUGUAUUUCUGCUCUACUUAGGAGUUUAUCUGAAUCAUAUUCACUCUCCAGGAAACCAUCAGCAUUUACUCAGAGAGAAAAUGACCUGAUUAGAAAUGACUUCUCUAAUAGCAUCUAUUUAAUGGAGCUUGUAUAAAUGUGAAUCUUGGAAAAAACAAUUGAAGAUUAGGGACCACCAAAUUUUUCAGUUUGAUUAAUAUUUUUUUAAAU